UUCCAAUAUUAUAUACAUGCAUGUAACCUUCGUUUAUUGUAAUAGUUAAUUUUUUAUCAUUUUUUUAUGGAAACAAUUACUAAUUUUUCUUUUCUUCUUGAGCAUUUCAAAAAAUAUGGAGCACCAAAUCCCAAAACGUCGACCACAGCAAUUCCAAUGAAAAAGGCAAGAUAUGGCAUUGACACUGCCCACCUUGGACAAAACAUUAGUGUAUCCAGUGAAUGCACUAUAGGUGAAGACAUCUUCGAAAAUGUAUUUAGAAAACUACUAUUACACUUAAAAUGCCUUAAUUUUUAGAAUCACGUGGGAUCAGCGUUUCAACGUCGGCCACUAAAUAUACCAAUGAAUCCAACCAAGGCGUGUUUGAAGUUGUUUGCUGCAGCCACUGCAACACGUUUGAAAAGCAGUC